rnacentral:tRNA from 1 species
GGGGAGGUGGCUGAGUGGUCAAAAGCGAUGGACUGUAAAUCCAUUUGUAUCAUACAUUCGUAGGUUCAAAUCCUACCCUCCUCA